rnacentral:rRNA from 1 species
GAACGCUGGCGGCGGCCUAACACAUGCAAGUCGAACGGUAACAUUUCUAGCUUGCUAGAAGAUGACGAGUGGCGGACGGGUGAGUAAUGCUUGGGAACUUGCCUUUACGAGGGGGAUAACAGUUGGAAACGACUGCUAAUACCGCAUAAUGUCUUCGGACCAAACGGGGCUUCGGCUCCGGCGCAAAGAGAGGCCCAAGUGAGAUUAGCUAGUUGGUAAGGUAACGGCUUACCAAGGCGACGAUCUCUAGCUGUUCUGAGAGGAAGAUCAGCCACACUGGGACUGAGACACGGCCCAGACUCCUACGGGAGGCAGCAGUGGGGAAUAUUGCACAAUGGGGGAAACCCUGAUGCAGCCAUGCCGCGUGUGUGAAGAAGGCCUUCGGGUUGUAAAGCACUUUCAGUUGUGAGGAAAAGUUAGUAGUUAAUACCUGCUAGCCGUGACGUUAACAACAGAAGAAGCACCGGCUAACUCCGUGCCAGCAGCCGCGGUAAUACGGAGGGUGCGAGCGUUAAUCGGAAUUACUGGGCGUAAAGCGCAGCAGGCGGUUUGUUAAGCUAGAUGUGAAAGCCCCGGGCUCAACCUGGGAUGGUCAUUUAGAACUGGCAGACUAAAGUCUUGGA